UCUCAGCAAAGUCUGAGUCACAGCCUCAGCCUCCCUCACAGUUGGGCUCUGUGGUCACAGGUCAUCUCCCCUGCAUCAGGGGCCUCGUCCCGGGCUCCCCAGCCACUCUUCCCGGGGGGACCCCAAGUAUCACAGCCACUGUUGGGGCUCAGCAGGGGCUCAUCCCUCCCCUCCUCCCCUCUGCUCUUACCCUCUGCUGUCACCUCUGCAGGCCUGGGGGGUGGUCCUGGGGGUGUGACCCCAUCCUCAUUCCGGAGGAGCUGAGCCCUGGUCACCGUCUUCUCAGGCCGGGUGGUGGCACCGUGCGGGCAUAUCACAGGCCUGGGGGGGCACCACAGCGCCAGAGGGCCCUGAAUUCCACACGUGUCCCCCCAGCCAGCAGCCCCACGUCCUCUUGCCAACUGGGCCAUGACUCCUCCUCCUGACUGGGCUCUAGGGGCUCCAAAUGUCAGGGAGGACUUUGAUUUGCUGUCCCACUGCCUGGAUGUUCUUCCUCCGGGCAUCUUACGGCCCAGCCCUCCUGUCUUCUCUGUUCUGAUGUCAUCCAAUCCGACAGGCCGUCUGCCGCCACCAGCCACCCUGUGGAAGGGGCAAAGCAGCCCCGGCAUACCCCGCACCCCCUAACCUGUGUGCUUCGGCUCUGCCCCCCAGCACCCCCAGGAUGCCAGCUCCAGCUCUGGAGGACAGCCUUGGCCCCCAGCACCUACAGUCGGUGUGAACUCCUGGUCCAGAUAAAUACAUAGAAAGUCAGGAAGAUUCAGCAGCUUGUCAAGAACACAUGGCUUUAAGUGCCCUGGGCAUUGCUGUGACCUGUACUAUCAGACCCAACGUGUUUAAGGGGAGCUAGAAAUCUGGAUUUUAUGAGAAAUCUGAGUUUAUCUGUUGGCACCUCAUUCAAUCGUCCUAUGACGCUGUGCCAGGAUCCUUCCUGAGAAUGCUAUCAGCCGGGCUCGUCUGCCUCGUGGGAAACCUGGGGGUUCUGCAGAAUUGGCCUAGCUUCCCAACACAUCCUGCCACGUGCCUGGACCCUGCUGCUUCACCUCAGUGCUCCAGCCUCACCCCAUCCAGGCACGCUGCUCCCAUCAGCACUGCAUGCCUCUCAGGAAGGUCCUGCAGGGUACCUACCAAAAUAAAGAAGCCCAAAGGAGACAGUUGGGAAGAGCAAAAGAUAGUAGAAAAGAGAACAAAAUCUCGGGCAGCCUGAGUGGCUCAGCGAUUUUGCAUCUGCCUUCGGCUCAGGUCAUGGUCCGGGGGUCACAGGAUUUAGUCCCACGUCAGGCUACCCACAGGGAGCCUGC